GAUGAACGCUGGCGGCGUGCCUAAUACAUGCAAGUCGAGCGAACAGACGAGGAGCUUGCUCCUCUGACGUUAGCGGCGGACGGGUGAGUAACACGUGGAUAACCUACCUAUAAGACUGGGAUAACUUCGGGAAACCGGAGCUAAUACCGGAUAAUAUAUUGAACCGCAUGGUUCAAUAGUGAAAGACGGUUUUGCUGUCACUUAUAGAUGGAUCCGCGCCGCAUUAGCUAGUUGGUAAGGUAACGGCUUACCAAGGCAACGAUGCGUAGCCGACCGGAGAGGGGGGUCGCCCACCCGGGAACGGAGACAGGGUCCAUGCUCCUGCGGGAGGCAGCAGUAGGGAAUCUGCCGCAGUGGGCGAAAGCCUGACGGAACAACGCCGCGUGAGUGAUGAAGGUCUUCGGAUCGUAAAACUCUGUUAUUAGGGAAGAACAAAUGUGUAAGUAACUAUGCACGUCUUGACGGUACCUAAUCAGAAAGCCACGGCUAACUACGUG
rnacentral:rRNA from 1 species